UACGUAGGGGGCUAGCGUUGUCCGGAAUCAUUGGGCGUAAAGCGCGCGUAGGCGGCCAGAUAAGUCCGGUGUGAAAGUCACAGGCUCAACCUGUGAAUGCCGCUGGAAACUGUCUGGCUUGAGUCCGGAAGGGGCGAGUGGAAUUCCUGGUGUAGCGGUGAAAUGCGCAGAUAUCGAGAGGAACACCUGCGGCGAAGGCGGGUGCUGGGCUGACACUGACGCUGAUGCGCGAAAGCCAGGGGAGCGAACGGG
rnacentral:rRNA from 1 species